rnacentral:rRNA from 1 species
GGACACGGUAAGGAUUGACGGACUGAAGGCUCUUUCUCGAUUCCGUGGAAAGUGGUGCAUGGCCGUUUUUGGUUGGUGGAUCGAUCCGUCUGGUUAAUUCCGUUAACGAACGAGACCUCGGCACUCCGAAUAGCGCGGCGGACGUCGCGGCCUCCGGGCCGUCUUCCGCACGAGCUUCUUAGAGGGACCGUCCCCCGCCGGGGAAGGAGGUGCGAGGCAACGACAGGUCUGUGAUGCCCUUAGAUGUUCUGGGCCGCACGCGCAUUACACUGACGCGUCCAACGGGUGACUCCCGACCCGAAGGGGCCGGGGAAUCCGCAAGGCGCGUCGUGAUGGGGAUUGAACGUUGCAAUUGUUGUUCACGAACGAGGAAUUCCUAGUAGGCGCGGGUCAUCAACCCGCGCCGAUUACGUCCCUG